rnacentral:sRNA from 1 species
UAAUUGAAUAAUUUAACGAUUUACCCUUCCUAUUUGAUAUUGAUUAGCUCACCAAUCCAUAUGUAAUGGAACUCUAUUCGCUUUUCUGAUUGAUAUAUAAAAUAAUAGAAUUAGGAAAUCCUUUAUUUACUAUAUCACUGAAUAAUAACUUUUUUGUUGACAAAAGAAUAAAGAUCUUUUCUAUUCCAAGGUGGGGAGUUUUAUUUUCCCCAUCGACCUA